ACCUCUGCAGGAUUAAGUACAAAUUAUUUACUGAGAACCUCUAAACUAUAUUUUUGUUUAGAUUUAUUAUUCUCUGAAAACAUCGAAAUGGAAACCCUAUUUUAUAUAAUCUAAAAUAUUACUGGAUUUACUCCACUGAUCUCAUAAAGACAACUGCAGUUCGAAUCAGCGAAACAUAAACCUCAUUCUGAAUAGAACAUUAGCAGUCGAAGGCAGGUAAUAUCAAUAUUGAUAACACUUAAAUAUCUUACAUUGGACUUAUUUCUAACUCAAGGCAUAAGCUUUAGCUUCUUUGUCCUUGUAAAAUAACACGAAAAGAUCGUUUAAAUUUUCUAAAUUCUAUAUCGUAUAACAACGUAGUUUUGCCUGAGUUGAAAGUCACACUCACCUACCAACAUUAAUACACACACACACACAGCGAUGAAAGAGAGCUCUCGGAAUUAAUCAGCUUUUCAGAGAAGUGUAUAAAUUUUAGAGGAUGUGGUCAUCAAUGUUUACCGCUGAUUAACUAUAUUUUAGACUAUACAUUUUUAAAAAUGGGUGGCACUUUUUUCUUAUAUACUUCAAGGGACCCCUGGAUUUAAAUUAGUAGGAUAUAUGAAAACAUUAUUCGUGAAUAUCACUAUGAUAAUCGACGUACAUCAAUUACCAUUUAUUCAGGGUAAUCAUAUUAUUUUCCACAAAUUGGAUAUUAGAUAAAUCGAAUUUUAUUUGUCACCAGGUUUUAUUCAGUUAUAAGUCAAUACAAUAGCAACCAGUAGAAUUUAAAAUAAAAUAAGAGUGAAACCGAGCAUCGCAAGUGGAAUUCGCAUUAUUACCUUUUUCUAAAACUUACGCACAUACAGCGCGGAGACUCAUCUAGACGGUUCUUUGAAUAUUAAAUUAACAAUGAAUUAUAUUUUCUAACAUUACUUAUAAUAUACUUUUAUUUAGAAAAUAAUUCGCGGGUGAUUUCAAUUGUUCUACUGCUUUAACAAUAAACACCUAGUAUGUACUCUUCUUAUAAUGUGUGAAAAUAUUAUUUCUCGUACACGACCAAGGCGUCUAAAUGCUACGGCUAAAGUACUAUUACAAAAUAUCCACUGAUACACUUUUAAAAUAAGUUAUUAUUGGCCAUUCGGUACCGCCUUUCGUGAAAUUUUAAAGUACAACCGCGGAAUUUUAAUCAAAUUAUUGGUACUACUUAUAAAAUAUAAAGUCUCGUUUAUAUUUUGUAGACGCCUGCACUAUUCUAUCCAUUGGAAUAUCUAAUAUUCACCGUGAUAAGUGUUAUGGAUUUAAACAAUAUUCUUUUUAUCAAUCGAUAAGUGUUCAUAUAAAAAUAUGUUUUCUUACAGUGACAGCUAACUCCCAGCUGUCAACAAAAAAAUAAAAAUGAGAAAGAAAUAUUUUGCAAACAUUGUUUUGCUUCACUAGAAACAUCUAAUAUUUAUUUAGGUUCACUACAUUAGCAAGAAGUGUCCCAAUUUUUGUAUUUGUAUUUUCUUUUCAGUAACAUACAAUUAGCAUCUGAUAUGUGCUCUGAAGGAUAGAUUUAAACUCUCAUAUCCAUUUUGCUAUUUGAUAAUGUUAAGGCGGCUAGCUGUCGGAGUCAUUCGUAGGCCGGGUGAAAUGCUUAGCGGCAUUUCGUCCGUCGUCAUGCUCUGAGUUAAAAGGCCACCAAGGUCCACUUUGCUUUUCAUUCUUUCGGAGUCGUUAUAAUAAGUACCAGUUGAAUAUUGAGGUCGAUGUAAUUGACUUAAUCACUGACGCGGAAGUGCUUACAUCGUGCCAAAAUAUGAAAUCAAUACCUGCAAGGCGGUCAGCUUGUAGAAAUGCUAAGCGAGCCUGGCAAAAUGCUGAGCGACAUUUCGUCCCUCCUCUCGUUCUGAGAUCAAAUUCAGCCGAUGUUCACAUAGCCUUUCGUCCUCUAGGGUCGGUAAAGCAGUACAAGAUAAACACUUGAAAAUUGGCUUUCAAGAUGUCUUAUUUGUUUGCAGUUAACUUGAGAUACGCAAAAUGGUUUGCCUGCAAGAAUUUAUAUGUAUUUGUUUGAUAUAAUGCUAUAACGGUAUUAUACGGAGACGUUAUCACACAAGCGAUGUUGGUCUCCUCAGUCGAACGUUUAUGUUUCAAGUUAUUUAGUUCUUGGGACAGUUUCUGCGUACGUGUUUUGUUUUAAUAAAGAUUAAGUGAAAUAAUUGAUUAAAAUUGAUCUUCAGAAUGAAAGGUUCGACUUCUUUUAGAAAUAAUACAAACGUAAUGAAUAUAUUGUAAUGUGAAAGUGAUGAUAUGAUUUUGAGUUCAAACUUUGGUAGGUACAUUUUGCAAAAGACAAUCAAAAUGUUAUUUUUAAAAAAGUGUAGUUUUAAUAUAUUAUUAGAAUAUAAUUUUUGAACCAGGAAUGUGAGAAUUUAUCGGGAAAGCUAUAAUACAGUGACAAUGCUAAAUUUGUAACAAAAAUCAGAGAGGAGUAUCUUAAUGGGCAUCAAUUCUUUGCCAAUUAUGAGAAAAUAUCCAAUCACAUAAAAGGGAAAAAGUAAAUGUUGGCUUUGUAAAUAAUUAUACGUAAGAAACAUUUAAACAUCAAAUCUCUAAAGAUGUGGGGUUUUUUUUUGCCAUAUGUCCUGUUGAUGCAUGUUAUAAAGAAUUGUAUCGCAGAUAAGAUAAAUUUUUUUUGUAAACUAAAUGCAUUUAUCUGCUCCACGACUAAAAGAUGAUGUUAGCAGGAGAGUUAGAAUUCAAUAUCAUAUUCAUUCAUAUUACUCUUCUUCUGUCCAAUUAGUAAUAAUAGUUUCAUAUAUCACCAUGUUCGGCCUUUAGUUAAUUUAUAUGUUAUUUUUGCAAUUCAAUAAUCGUAAAGUUCUAUUUUUUCUCUCUUCAGAUAUGAAACCAGAAAGAAUUCGAUUUAACCUAUUCUUCAUCCUUUCUAUUUUAUUGUGUUGUGCAGCGAUGACAACACCGGAAAAUGAAACAUUAGUUAAGAACAAUUCAAUAACCGGUCAAAUACUUGUAUCCUGUGCAAUAAUAAUUCUUUGCUUACCGUUUAUUGGCAUGAUCUGUUACCUAAUAAAUAUAAGGUGCCGAUUUGUGAUAUUCGAUAUAUUUUUUCCGAUUAAAAAAGAUAUUGUUUGCUUAAGAAUUGAUGAAAUUUCACCUGAUCCCAGUUUAUAUCAUAUUGAACCUCGACCACGUAGUAACACAAAUAAUUCCCAAAAGUUGUAUUACGAACUGUUGAAUGCAGAUUCACAAUACUGUAAUUCACCUACAAGUACUGAUCAGUCGACAAUUUCGAAUAUUUCAAAUGGUGUUUUAAGUGAAAAUUCUCAAGAAUUAUCAGACCAAGCUCUUUUGCACUAGCUGUAUAAGCAGCCCUUAAAGCACAUUUUCUCUACAUUAGAAGGCUUCUAAUAAUAUAGUUUCUAUACACUAUUGUUUUUGAAUAAUACCUAUUUCAAAUAAUGUCCGUUAACGUGUGUUGAUCACGAAAAAGAAAAACACCGCCUUUGUUUCAAAGUUACACCCUUCUCCAUUGUAGUUAUUCAGUCUUAAUUAUGCAUCUUAUAUUCGAGAAUGCAAAUGACACAUUGAGGAUAUAUCUAUUAGGGAUGUUGUAAAUUAUCGCAUGCAAUAAAGACAGCCACCAAAAUUCAUCCCAGUAUAUGAUGACAUGAUCAUAUGCAAGAAAAUCGCAUCGUCUGUAUCAAAGAUAUAUAUAUUAUAUAUAUCUAAAGCAGUGUAGACUAAGAAACACAUAGCUUGUGUUUAAAAUCCAGUUGAUUUAUAGACUUAAUGUAUACUGUUUGUCAUCUACUGAAAGAAUUGCCAAUACCCGUUUCAAUAAGGCGAAAGCCACAUGAAUUCAUAGGUAAAGCUAAAGCACAGGAAACCUUAAGACGUUUGAGCUGGUUUAAUAAAUUCGUAUCCCUAUACAGCCAAGUGGGCACAUUUUUCCUAAGAACUUGUGCGUAUAAGCAUAAAUAUUUUUCUCAUAUCCAUUUCUGUAAGAUGUCUAUAAAAGUCAUGUUGUUAAGUAACAUUAAUUUCUGCAUGUUUUUUGUCUGGAAACAAUAGUGAAAAAGAAAAUGUGCCUUGUUACACAUGCUGUUAAUUUAUUACAUGUCAUAAAAGAAAAUUAUCUAAACGAUAUGGUCUUGAACCUAAUAAUCCUGUUUUCAAAACUUCGGAAUUCGUUAAAGCUUCACUUAAAUUGCAUUUAUUGAAAAUACAUCUUGUAAAACCAGGAAAACUUGUCAUAAAGCGAGCUGUCGUUAACGAAAUUCUGAAUUCAUUUAAAACGCUGGUAUUUGAAUCAUAAAAGUUACUUUUGAUUAUUAAGUGCAUGGUGGAAAUAUUUUAUGCUUGUUUUUCUUUACCACCAGCUGUCAAACAUGGUUGAGUAUGGUCUUGUUUGUUACAAACAUUGACUGUGUACUUAUCAACAUAAAUUCUAACGCUAAGAAGCUUCAAAUCAAAAUUAAAAUACAGAAUUGUUUCAGGGCUUCAUGUUAUUUAAAUUUUGUUUUUCACCUACAGGAGAAAUUAAUCAACGAAAAUGUGCACGUAAUUUUCCUUUAGAGAUUCUUACAAUGUUUAUUCUACAUUCUUUUGAUGACCGAUAUUGUUUUUUCAUAAAAAAAGUCGCUUUCACAAUCUCUAGGAGAUGCUUACUAAAGUGUGAUAACGGCAGGUUUUAAUUUAUAACUCCAGUGUUUCAAUAUUGAAAUCAAGAAUUGAUCUAGUGUAGUCAUCUGAAUAUAACAGAUGUACGCAUUUUGUACAAAUGCAUGAAAUGAAGCUAUUGUUAACAUACGUACAUAUACGCACGCACAUAUGCCCCUAACUACGCCCUUGUGUAUGUGCACCCUAGUAUAUUUAGUUUAGUUAGUAAAGAUAGAGGUUAAUUGCUUCAAUUCAUAAAUAUAUUCAAUAUAUAAAUACAUUCAAUUGCAUUUUUCAUUCGCUGCUUUGGUUAGUCAGUGCUUUGCCACAGUAGAAUAUCUAAAAUUUGGUUGAAUCACUUGUCAUAUUUUUCUUGCAAAUCUCUUAUAUUUAUAGUUUUUGGGAAGGCUAAAUAUCAAAAAUAUCGCUCUUUACUAAACUGAAAUGGAGGAAGCAAAUGUUCGGCUUAUAUACACUUCAAUAAAGAUAACGUGCGGAAGUCCUUCCGACAUUUAUACACAUAAAUUGUUUAUCUCACCAAUUUCGAUUUAGGCAGUAAUGAUAAAACUUUGAAACGCCGCUCAUAGUUCAGCUUCUUCAUAGACGAACAAUGGAUUCUUUCAAGUCCA
rnacentral:lncRNA from 1 species